ACCUGGCUGGCUCGGUCGGUGGGGCAUGUGACUCCUGAUCUCAAGGUUGUGAAUUCAAGCCCCACGUUGGGUG
rfam:Ailuropoda melanoleuca scaffold26_132, whole genome shotgun sequence.